CAGUAGCCGCGGGAAUACGUAGGGUGCAAGCGUUAAUCGGAAUUACUGGGCGUAAGGCGUGCGUAGGUGGUGGUUUAAGUCCGUUGUGAAAGCCCUGGGCUCAACCUGGGAAUUGCAGUGGAUACUGGGUCACUAGAGUGUGGUAGAGGAUAGUGGAAUUUCCGGUGUAGCAGUGAAAUGCGUAGAGAUCGGAAGGAACAUCUGUGGCGAAGGCGGCCAUCUGGGACAACACUGACGCUGAGGCACGAAAGCGUGGGGAGCAAACAGGAUUAGAUACCCCAGUAGUCCCUGUCUCUUAUAC
rnacentral:rRNA from 1 species